AAAGGAAUUGACGGGGACCCGCACAAGCGGUGGAGCGUGUUGUUUAAUUCGAUGGUAAGCGAAGAACCUUACCCAGGCUUGACAUCCUGCGAAGGCUUCCGAAAGGAAACUGUGCUUUCGAGAACGCAGUGACAGGUGAUGCAUGGCCGUCGUCAGCUCGUGUCGUGAGAUGUAUGGUUAAGUCCAUUAACGAGCGCAACCCUUAUGUUUAGUUGAAUUUCUCUAAACAGACUGCCCUGGCAACAGGGAGGAAGGAGGGGAUGACGUCAGGUCAGUAUUUCCCUUACGUCUGGGGCUACAAACACGCUACAAUGGCCGGUACAAAGGGCAGCCAACCCGCGAGGGGGAGCAAAUCCCAUCAAAACCGGUCCCAGUUCGGAUAGCAGGCUGAAACUCGCCUGCUUGAAGUCGGAAUCGCUAGUAACGGUAAGUCAGCACAUUACCGUGAAUACGUUCCCGGGUCUUGUACACACCGCCCGU
rnacentral:rRNA from 1 species